UGAUUCCACUGGCUUUGACUACACUCAUU
rnacentral:piRNA from 1 species